CCACUUCCAGGGCUCAGCGCGGUGCCAGGACAGGUAGGGACUAGCCUGCCUUAGCCGGGCAGCACCGCUGAUGGGACUUUUAACGGCCUGAGAUGCCAGGGUCCCUUUUCAACCCGGCGGUCGACAGCCGGACACCUGGCCACCCUGGGUGUCGCUACAGAUCCGCUGGGGCUCUGGCCAGGAGUCCCGGUCACACUGUCACAAGAAGGCCCCGUUUCCAUGACACGCGGCUCCUUGGCCGGUAACCGUGACGUCUCCACCAGGGCGAGUAAAGCUGCGCUGCGGGAAUGUGGGGCUGGAAGGGGCCUCGAGAGGUCAUGUAGCCCCCCCCGAGCCGAGACCAUCCCUCCCAGGGCUUUGUCCACCCUGCUCUUACAAGCCCGGCAGACGGUCACCAGGGCGCGUGCUGAGCUCCCCUGAGAGCUAGGAAGUGGCUAGGGAGAGACUUUCCCACAAGGCAACGGCUGCCUGAGAUCCCUUGGCAAGAGCUUGUGCGAGCCCAGGCUCGCCAGCCGGAGAGUCGCCCCCCGAGCCCUGAUCCCCACCUGCCCAGCCCCCUCCCAACUGAGCUGAGCUGAGCUCCCUGGCGCGGGGGCCCCGCUCCCCGCUCAGGACGAGCCGGAAAGCAGGAGCAGCCGCCGGUUUGUCUUGCGGGGGGAGCGAUAGUUUUUCUUAGUCUCUAUAUUUCCCUCUUGCUCCUUCCGCCAUUUAACCCAGACACAGCAGCCGGCCAGGGCCAGUCGCUGCUGUUCCCGCGCCCGGGUCAGAGGGUGAGAGAAGAAUGAGCAGAAAUGGCCCCCACUGAAGCCAAGGUUUGCGGCCUCCAUGUAGCUUUUUGCCUCGGACCCUCAGGGGGCGGCAACUGGCCCCCCGGGCACGGGGCUCUGCUCUCGGCCAGCUGUGGCCCUGUUAGCAUCUCCUCAGCACAGCGAGCUCGUUAGGAAGAGCAGACGAGGACUGAGGGCGAGACACUUCGGGGCCGACCGGGGCCAAUUCCGGGGGGAUUCUAUUUAAAAACGGCCUGAAAUGGGCGAAAGCAGAACAAACUGUUUCAAAUUGAUCAAAACGAAACAUUUCGAUCAACCCAGAAUUAAUUUUUUUUCGGAAUUUUGCUGCACGGGGCGUUUAAUUUUUGGUUGGUUCUAUUGCAGAACAGCAAAAAUGCCAGAGUCAUGGAAUGGAAAAUCCAGGCCGUGCCCAGCUCUGAAUAAGAGUGAGAUUUUUCUUCCUUGCCUACUAGCGAGAAGUGACCUAGGUUUUAAAAAGUGGGGAUUAUCUGAAGGAAAGCGCCAGUGCUGCUGUGAACGGGGCAGAGAGGGCACUGGGUUUAGCUGUGAGUGUGACGAGGUCGGUAUCUUAUAUCCUGUGGCAGUGAGUUCCGGAGUCAAAGCGCCAGCUCAGGUCCUGGCUUAGAGCUUCCAGCUCUUCGCUGGACGUUACAUUGUUCCCAUGGAACACGGCUACUGGGGAAGUUCAGGUUCGGGGUGGGGGGAUCUCUCAGGUAGCCAGGACCAACCCCACGGAAAGCUUCGACUAUCAGGCCAGGACCUUGAACUGGGCUCUGUAUUUCAGUUUGUUGUUUGGCUUUCCCCGUUUGUGUAACAAUGACUCGCAGUGUAAACAGCGCGCGCGCACACACACACACACACACACACACACACACACACACACACACACACACACACACACACACACCCAUUGCACCCCCACUGCACACACCCUUCAAGUGGCGGGGUUUGAAUUUGGUCGGCUUCCAGGGUGGGGCAAAGAAGCAUUUAAAAAGAGCUCUAAGGAGGCAGAACAAGCCAAACCCCAGGGCCUGACCCACCCCCGCCUCCCUCAUUGUGGAGGCAUUGACAGGCGUGUGAAAUGUUCCCCAGAGCGGGCACGUUUCACACUCAUUUUGCACGGGUUAUAGAUGAGGUGCAGUGUGUGUGUGGUGGGGGCGGAGGGGCGGGGGUAUCAGACCCAGAGUUUAUUAUUCUGUUUCUUUGUCAGCUCUCACCUGUCCGCCCACCCACCUUCCCAUAACGAUUAGCUCAGCCUGGGGGGGUUGUUUUCCCACCUAGCCCUUUGCACCGCAGGAAAGGAGAGGGCUGCCGGGUAGGGGUGUAUUUGUGAAUGGAGCCGGGCUGGCUGAGUGUGUGUUAUUGUGUAUGUGGGGGGCGGGUCAUUAGAUAAACAUGCCCCCCCCCGCCCCCCAUUCCAGUCUCUCCCUUCAGCCAGCCUAUGGCUUUUCCCCAUCACCCCCUUCAGGCUGCACCUGAUUCCAAACACAUCCCCAGCCCUCCCACCUAGCGCCGGAAAUCAGGGGCGAGUUCAGGCCAGGAGGCAGCACUGGCUUAGUUCGCUUGUUGGCUCUGGUCAGAACAGCGAUGCAGGAAGGGCCCUGCCGCGGGCAGCGUUUCUGAGGUCAGGCUGCUGCCCGGAGCCUUGUGCUCCUGCAGCCUUCCAGGCGGCUCAGGAGAAGCGUCUGUUGUGCCUGGUUCAUUGGCAUCUGAGCCCUCACGGCUGGUGGCCACAGAAGAGGCUGGACUUGCAGAGCCUGCAGGAGUCUGUGGUGCCGGCAGCCUUGAAUUCUAAACUGAGCCACUUUGCUCGGGUAGCCCUCGAGUGGGGACACGCAGGGGCCCCCCCGGCCCCUCGAGCAAACCCGGGUGAACAGCGAGCCCCGGCCCUGGAGAAUUCUGAUCAGCAGCAUACAGUGGACUGGGGGUGUAGCCGAUCCCUGGGGCCAGCCACCGUGGGGUGACCUGGUCUCGCCAGCACACCAUGAAACCACCACUGAAAUGAGGACAGAAUCAGGCUGCCUUUGUGUUCAGCCCCUUGGCUGCUUCCAGGCAGGAGGGGAGGCGGGGGAGGGUGUAUUUUCCAGGAGGUUCCUGUAACUCAACCCAGAUCCUGUCUCCCCAUAACACUGGGCCCUCAUUUCCCAUCACACUCCAGAGUUCCCCAUUGGCUCCGCCUGGAUGUCCCUCGGCUCCAGACCCGAAUGGCUCUGUGCUGCUGAGAUCACAAGGGUAGGGAGCUACCUUCCCCGCUGCAUUAUUGCUAGCCCUGAAAUUCAGCCCUGGGCAGAGGGCCAGCACCAGGCCUCUACACCACACAGCUCUGCAGUGGGACUUACGUGCUGCUUAGAGCUUGGGCCUUCUGCGCUGCGGGGAGGCCACCCUCUGGGUGUCACAGGAGCCACUCGAUUGCACAAGGGCUAAAUCUCUCACUUUUCCACUUCUGCCAUGUGGGGAGAUUCUGCUGAGUUUCGCCUGCCAUCCUUUCCUUUCCCCGCUUUCCUGGUGAUCCGCUGAGUGACCUACUGGGCUGCAGUCCGUUCAGGAGCCUUCUGUGGGACAGCACGCUCAGCAGCGCAGCGGGUGUCUCUUCCGUGGACUUAGCUGAUACAGGCAGCAUCAUAGCAGGUGUCUUCUGCCUGGACACACCUGGCACAGUUAGCUUCAUAGCAGGUAAAUCCUACCUGCUGCAUUUAGCACCACAGCAGCUUUAUUCUACCUGGACACACCUGACAGUUAGCUUCAUAGCAGGUAAAUCCUACCUGCUGCAUUUAGCACCACAGCAGCUUUAUUCUACCUGGACACACCUGGCACAGUUAGUUUCAUAGCAGGUGCAUCAUUGCUAGAUGUGCUUAGUACACUCAGUAGUGCAGCCGGGAUGGACCUGCCAUAUCUGGCCCCAUGUAUUCCCUCUGGACACACCCAGGACACUUUCCAGACCCAGAGUAAGAAAAGACUCUCCUAGCUGGUUUCCUGAGCAGAGGGCAAGCACCUUAGAAAAGCAACAGGCUUUCCCAUUUAAUGGUAGCCUGGCCUAAAAACUGGUCUCUUUGGAAAAAAGGGAGCCUGGCAUCUUGUGAGGGCAUUACAUUUUUGGUUCAUUAUAAAGCACCCUGGCAUGAAGGACUCGACGGUUGUAUCGCAUCUCUCUUUAGUUUCACGCUGUAUUUACACACGCUCAUUAUUCAAGGAUAAGGCCAGCUAAUCUCCUCCUCGGGUUCUGCAGCCAUGUGAUGCUCCUUCAGCGCCUCGCUCUGAGCCCCUCUCCGUGGAGAGGCCAUUGCUUCUUUACACAGUAAACUUGAAGCUUUUAUAUUGUCAAAAAGACAAGCAGUAAUUGCUCUAUUUAAUUGUCACGGUUAUUUAAUGUGUUUCUCUUACAUGUGCUUUAUCUUGACAUCGCUUCAAAAAGCAAAAAGCAAAUGACAAAUGAACCCUACACAACUAAUCCUGCGGGUGCUGGGGUGUCAGCUGGGGCCUCUAAGCUGUGAUUUUCUAUGAUAUGAUUUGUACGUUAUAUGAAAACCUAUAUGCUUUCUCAACCAGCCGAAUUAAAACAAAAACCACACGUGA